rnacentral:rRNA from 1 species
UACGUAGGGGGCAAGCGUUAUCCGGAUUUACUGGGUGUAAAGGGAGCGUAGGCGGCGGUGCAAGUCAGAAGUGAAAGCCCGGGGCUCAACUCCGGGACUGCUUUUGAAACUGUGUUGCUAGAUUGCAGGAGAGGUAAGUGGAAUUCCUAGUGUAGCGGUGAAAUGCGUAGAUAUUAGGAGGAACACCAGUGGCGAAGGCGGCUUACUGGACCGUAAAUGACGCUGAGGCUCGAAAGCGUGGGGAGCAAACAGG